UACGUAGGGUGCGAGCGUUAAUCGGAAUUACUGGGCGUAAAGCGUGCGCAGGCGGUUCUCCAAGUCCGAUGUGAAAGCCCCGGGCUUAACCUGGGAAUGGCAUUGGAAACUGGCUCGCUGGAGUGUGGCAGAGGGGGGUGGAAUUCCGCGUGUAGCAGUGAAAUGCGUAGAGAUGCGGAGGAACACCGAUGGCGAAGGCAGCCCCCUGGGCUAACACUGACGCUCAGGCACGAAAGCGUGGGGAGCAAACAGG
rnacentral:rRNA from 1 species